GACGAACGCUGGCGGCGUGCCUAAUACAUGCAAGUCGAACGCUGAAGGAGGAGCUUGCUUCUCUGGAUGAGUUGCGAACGGGUGAGUAACGCGUAGGUAACCUGCCUGGUAGCGGGGGAUAACUAUUGGAAACGAUAGCUAAUACCGCAUAAUAGUAGAUGUUGCAUGACAUUUGCUUAAAAGGUGCAAUUGCAUCACUACCAGAUGGACCUGCGUUGUAUUAGCUAGUUGGUGGGGUAACGGCUCACCAAGGCGACGAUACAUAGCCGACCUGAGAGGGGGAUCGGCCACACUGGGACUGAGACACGGCCCAGACUCCUACGGGAGGCAGCAGUAGGGAAUCUUCGGCAAUGGACGGAAGUCUGACCGAGCAACGCCGCGUGAGUGAAGAAGGUUUUCGGAUCGUAAAGCUCUGUUGUAAGAGAAGAACGAGUGUGAGAGUGGAAAGUUCACACUGUGACGGUAUCUUACCAGAAAGAGACGGCUAACUACGUG
rnacentral:rRNA from 1 species